rnacentral:rRNA from 1 species
AUUGAACGCUGGCGGCAUGCCUUACACAUGCAAGUCGAACGGCAGCACGGGUGCUUGCACCUGGUGGCGAGUGGCGAACGGGUGAGUAAUACAUCGGAACGUACCUUAUCGUGGGGGAUAACGCAGCGAAAGUUGCGCUAAUACCGCAUACGCCCUGAGGGGGAAAGCGGGGGACCGUAAGGCCUCGCGCGAUUAGAGCGGCCGAUGUCUGAUUAGCUUGUUGGUGAGGUAAAAGCUCACCAAGGCGAUGAUCAGUAGCUGGUCUGAGAGGACGAUCAGCCACACUGGGACUGAGACACGGCCCAGACUCCUACGGGAGGCAGCAGUGGGGAAUUUUGGACAAUGGGGGCAACCCUGAUCCAGCAAUGCCGCGUGAGUGAAGAAGGCCUUCGGGUUGUAAAGCUCUUUUGUCAGGGAAGAAACAGCAGCUCUAACACAGUCUGCGAAUGACGGUACCUGAAGAAUAAGCACCGGCUAACUACGU